rnacentral:rRNA from 1 species
GACGAACGCUGGCGGCGUGCCUAAUACAUGCAAGUCGAGCGGACUGAUUAAGAGCUUGCUCUUAUGACGUUAGCGGCGGACGGGUGAGUAACACGUGGGCAACCUGCCCGGUAGAUCGGGAUAACACCGAGAAAUCGGUGCUAAUACCGGGUAAUAUCUGAGAUCACAUGAUCUUAGGUUAAAAGAUGGCUCCGGCUAGCAAUACAGGAUGGGGCCGCGGCGCAUUAGCUAGUUGGUAAGGUAAUGGCUUACCAAGGCGACGGUGCGGAGCCGACCUGAGAGGGCGAUGGGCCACACCUGGACUGAGACACGGCCCAGACUCCUACGGGAGGCAGCAGGAGCGAAUCUCCCGCAAUGGACGACAGUCUGACGGAUCAACGCCGCGUGAGUGAUGAAGGGUUUCCGCUCGUAAAGCUCUGUUGUUAGGGAAGAAACAGUAACGAACGAACUAGGUCGGUACCUUGACGGUACCUAACCAGAAAGCCACGGCUAACUACGUG